rnacentral:rRNA from 1 species
GCUACAGGCUUAACACAUGCAAGUCGAGGGGCAGCAUGGUCUUAGCUUGCUAAGGCCGAUGGCGACCGGCGCACGGGUGAGUAACACGUAUCCAACCUGCCGUCUACUCUUGGACAGCCUUCUGAAAGGAAGAUUAAUACAAGAUGGCAUCAUGAGUCCGCAUGUUCACAUGAUUAAAGGUAUUCCGGUAGACGAUGGGGAUGCGUUCCAUUAGAUAGUAGGCGGGGUAACGGCCCACCUAGUCUUCGAUGGAUAGGGGUUCUGAGAGGAAGGUCCCCCACAUUGGAACUGAGACACGGUCCAAACUCCUACGGGAGGCAGCAGUGAGGAAUAUUGGUCAAUGGGCGAGAGCCUGAACCAGCCAAGUAGCGUGAAGGAUGACUGCCCUAUGGGUUGUAAACUUCUUUUAUAAAGGAAUAAAGUCGGGUAUGGAUACCCGUUUGCAUGUACUUUAUGAAUAAGGAUCGGCUAACUCCGUGUCAGCAGCCGCGGUAAUACGGAGGAUCCGAGCGUUAUCCGGAUUUAUUGGGUUUAAAGGGAGCGUAGAUGGAUGUUUAAGUCAGUUGUGAAAGUUUGCGGCUCAACCGUAAAAUUGCAGUUGAUACUGGAUAUCUUGAGUGCAGUUGAGGCAGGCGGAAUUCGUGGUGUAGCGGUGAAAUGCUUAGAUAUCACGAAGAACUCCGAUUGCGAAGGCAGCCUGCUAAGCUGCAACUGACAUUGAGGCUCGAAAGUGUGGGUAUCAAACAGGAUUAGAUACCCUGGUAGUCCACACGGUAAACGAUGAAUACUCGCUGUUUGCGAUAUACUGCAAGCGGCCAAGCGAAAGCGUUAAGUAUUCCACCUGGGGAGUACGCCGGCAACGGUGAAACUCAAAGGAAUUGACGGGGGCCCGCACAAGCGGAGGAACAUGUGGUUUAAUUCGAUGAUACGCGAGGAACCUUACCCGGGCUUAAAUUGCAGAUGAAUUACGGUGAAAGCCGUAAGCCGCAAGGCAUCUGUGAAGGUGCUGCAUGGUUGUCGUCAGCUCGUGCCGUGAGGUGUCGGCUUAAGUGCCAUAACGAGCGCAACCCUUGUUGUCAGUUACUAACAGGUUCCGCUGAGGACUCUGACAAGACUGCCAUCGUAAGAUGUGAGGAAGGUGGGGAUGACGUCAAAUCAGCACGGCCCUUACGUCCGGGGCUACACACGUGUUACAAUGGGGGGUACAGAGGGCCGCUACCACGCGAGUGGAUGCCAAUCCCCAAAACCUCUCUCAGUUCGGACUGGAGUCUGCAACCCGACUCCACGAAGCUGGAUUCGCUAGUAAUCGCGCAUCAGCCACGGCGCGGUGAAUACGUUCCCGGGCCUUGUACACACCGCCCGUCAAGCCAUGGGGGCCGGGGGUACCUGAAGUGCGUAACCGCGAGGAGCGCCCUAGGGUAAAACUGGUGACUGGGGCUAAGUAGUAAC